rnacentral:rRNA from 1 species
GACGAACGCUGGCGGCGUGCUUAACACAUGCAAGUCGAACGGAAAGGCCCUGCUUUUGUGGGGUGCUCGAGUGGCGAACGGGUGAGUAACACGUGAGUAACCUGCCCUUGACUUUGGGAUAACUUCAGGAAACUGGGGCUAAUACCGGAUAGGAGCUCCUGCUGCAUGGUGGGGGUUGGAAAGUUUCGGCGGUUGGGGAUGGACUCGCGGCUUAUCAGCUUGUUGGUGGGGUAGUGGCUUACCAAGGCUUUGACGGGUAGCCGGCCUGAGAGGGUGACCGGCGAAAUGGGGACUGGUGUCGGCAGAAGACGCGAAGGGGGGGCAGGGGGGGAGAAUUUGGAAGAGGGGGGGGGAGUGGGAGGCGACACGCCCGGGGGGGGGAGGAUGGCUUUGGGGUGGAAAACGUAUGUCGCCGGGGAGGAGGGGGGAGGGAGGGGAGGGGAUAAAAAAGCCGCGGCUAACUACGGG